GGGUACUUGAGGGGCAGGGCCUGGGAGACUGGAAGACUUGAAUGAAUAGGCAACCGUUCCUUCAGAGUUGAUACAGCGAAGCUCCAGCACAGGUACCAGCAACUGCAGCGUCUUGUCCACCCAGAUUUCUUCAGCCAGAGGUCUCAGACUGAAAAGGACUUCUCAGAGAAGCAUUCGACCCUGGUGAAUGAUGCCUAUAAGACCCUCCUGGCCCCCCUGAGCAGAGGACUGUACCUUCUAAAGCUCCAUGGAAUAGAGAUUCCUGAAAGGACAGAUUAUGAAAUGGACAGGCAAUUCCUCAUGGAAAUAAUGGAAAUCAAUGAAAAACUCGCAGAAGCUGAAAGUGAAGCUGCCAUGAAAGAGAUUGAAUCCAUUGUCAAAGCUAAACAGAAAGAAUUUACUGACAAUCUGAGCAGUGCUUUUGAACAAGGUGACUUUGAAGAAGCCAAGGAAAUUUUGACAAAGAUGAGAUACUUUUCAAAUAUAGAAGAAAAGAUCAAGUUAAAGAAGAUUCCCCUUUAAUUGUGGAUAGUUUAAAGUUUAAAAAAUAAAGUUCUUGCUGG
rnacentral:sRNA from 1 species